AUUGAACGCUGGCGGCAGGCCUAACACAUGCAAGUCGAGCGGAUGAGGAAAGCUUGCUUUUCGAUUCAGCGGCGGACGGGUGAGUAAUGCCUAGGAAUCUGCCUGUUAGUGGGGGAUAACUCGGGGAAACUCGGGCUAAUACCGCAUACGUCCUACGGGAGAAAGUGGGGGAUCUUCGGACCUCACGCUAACAGAUGAGCCUGGGUCGGAUUAGCUAGUAGGUGAGGUAAUGGCUCACCUAGUCGACGAUCCGUAACUGGUCUGAGAGGAUGAUCAGUCACACUGGAACUGAGACACGGUCAAGCCUCCUACGGGAGGCAGCAGUGGGGAAUAUUGGACAAUGGGCGAAAGCCUGAUCCAGCCAUGCCGCGUGUGUUAAGAAGGUCUUCGGAUUGUAAAGCACUUUAAGUUGGGAGGAAGGGUAUUCACCUAAUACGUGGGUACUUUGACGUUACCAACAGAAUAAGCACCGGCUAACUCUGUGCCAGCCGCCGCAGUAACAC
rnacentral:rRNA from 1 species